AUGUACAUGCCUACAACAUAGAAUUAAUGCAUCGGGUCUCAUUAGAUCUGCGCAAUUAAACACGUUCAGGCUAGAGUAGUAUUGGGAUGGGUGACCGCCUGGGAAGUCCUAGUGUUUUACAUG
rfam:Picea glauca, whole genome shotgun sequence.